CGUGUAGGCGGGAAAGAAAGUCAGAAGUGAAAUCCCAUGGCUUAACUGUGGAGCUGCUUCUGAAACUUCUUUCUUGAGUGCUGGAGAGGAAAGUGGAAUUCCAAGUGUAGCGGUGAAAUGCGUAGAGAUUUGGAGGAACACCAGUGGCGAAGGCGGCUUUCUGGACAGUAACUGACGCUGAGGCGCGAAAGCGUGGGGAGCAAACAGGAUUAGAUACCCUGGUAGUCCACGCUGUAAACGAUGGAUACUAGGUGUAGGAGGUAUCGACCCCUUCUGUGCCGGAGUUAACACAAUAAGUAUCCCACCUGGGGAGUACGGCCGCAAGGUUGAA
rnacentral:rRNA from 1 species